CCUACGGGAGGCAGCAGUGAGGAAUAUUGGUCAAUGGACGCAAGUCUGAACCAGCCAUGCCGCGUGCGGGAAGACGGCUCUAUGAGUUGUAAACUGCUUUUGUACGAGGGUAAACGCAGAUACGCGUCUCUGUCUGAAAGUAUCGUACGAAUAAGGAUCGGCUAACUCCGUGCCAGCAGCCGCGGUAAUACGGAGGAUUCAGCCUUUACCCGGGUUUAUUGGGUUUAAAGGGUGCGUAGGCGGUCGGAAAAGUUAGAGGGGAAAUCCCGGGGGUCAACUUCGGAAUUGCCUUUGACACUGUUUGGCUAGAGAGGAGGAGAGGUAGGCGGAAUGUAUGGUGUAGCGGUGAAAUGCUUAGAGAUCAUGCAGAACACCGAUUGCGAAGGCAGCUUACCGGGCUACUUCUGACGUUGAGGCACGAAAGCGUGGGGAGCGAACAGGAUUAGAUACCCCAGUAGUC
rnacentral:rRNA from 1 species